UUUGGAUUCCACUCCGCGAAACACACUCUCUGUGCAGCGAUGGAACUUGGAGCAUCUUUGUUCUAUCUCGAUCCAAUCGAAGGUUAAAGGCCACCUUAAAGUCUAUGCUCCAACAAACCGAAGGAUGAAUUUGUAUUUAUCUGCUUUCUAUUAGAGAAAUCUCCAUUUUCAUUUUUGGGUGCUCAUUACAGUACAUCCUGAUUUAGGAAUUUUUAUUUGGAGAUGAUUACUCACGAGCAAGAUCCUGAUGUCGUUCGAUGGGGCCUUGAACUCUUUGAUGGCAAUCCAUUUUCUAAUUACGGGUAUUGCGGAAACGUUGAUCACGAUGAGAUACAAUACUAUCAAGGACAAUGUUUUGAUGCAGAUAGUUAUGACAAGAUAUGCAACAUAGAAAAUAGUGAGCUUAUUGCUCAAACUCUCCAAGAACUCUCACAGCUUGCAGUGGCAGAGCCAGUAUCCUUUGAUGGAGGGAUAGAAAAUGUACAACUUUCCAUGUGUCCACAAGAUUGGUUUAGUCUGUCCAUUAAUACCUUUGGUCCUGAGCAUAAUAAUGAUCUGGAAGAGGAAGAUGAUAGUUCAUGUGCCAUGCCUGUCGAGACAUCCUACAGUGUGGAUGACUGGUCAUAUUCUUUAGAGCUGACUGAUGAGUAUGCCCUUGAUGGAGAAGUGGGAAAAAGAUUGAAUCAGAUGGUCUCAAUUCCUCAUAUUCCAAAAAUUAAUGGAGAAAUUCCUUCUGUUGAUGAAGAAGCUUUAGAUCAUCAAAGACUAUUGGACAGACUGCAGCUAUAUGAUUUGAUCGAGUUGAAAGUGCAAGGAGAUGGUAAUUGUCAGUUUCGUGCUCUGUCAGAUCAAAUUUAUCGAACUCCUGAGCACCAUAAAUUUGUGAGGGAGCAAGUUGUUAAUAAGCUAAAGUCAUAUCCAGAGAUAUACGAAGGAUAUGUUCCCAUGGCCUACACUGACUAUCUGAAAAAAAUGUCCAAGAGUGGGGAAUGGGGCGAUCAUGUCACUUUGCAGGCUGCUGCAGAUACGUAUGGUGUUAAAAUUUUCAUGAUUACAUCAUUCAAAGAUACCUGCUACAUUGAGAUUCUUCCUAAUAUUGAAAGGUCCAAAAGAGUUAUUUGCUUGAGCUUUUGGGCUGAAGUGCACUAUAACUCAAUAUAUCCUGAAGGAGGAAACUAAACGAAUUAAGUUGCAUCAAACUAAGCUCCAUCAAUUUAGUACUCUCCCACUCCCUUCCCUUCUCUCUCUCUCUCUAGCAUUCGGAUAAGGCUAAUCUUCCAAGUUUUGUAAUUCUUGCUGAUGUUCCCAUGUUGGAGACGAGGAACAAUAGGUGGUGGAUGCUUCAAAACGAGCAUCAUCUGGAAUGACGGCUCAGAUAGCAAUUUUCAAAUAUUGCUAAUCACAGUCUUCACCAAGCUUUAUGGACAUUUCAGUCUCCAUAAGAGUUCAGCUACUUGGUUCCUUUUUCCUCCAAGGUUUUGUUCCUAUGUGCAACUCAUAGGAAAAAUUAUGCCAAAUACAGAAAUGCUGCCAUGCUUUUUGAUUAAUGUGUGCAUCUAUCUCUAACAUUUGCCUGGAAUCUUUUCGUUCUCUCCCCCCCCUCAUUUUUUGGGUUCAAGUAACUUUAAAAUUGUAACCUCACACUUGCUAAUUAUGUCAUGCUAUUUUCUGCCUCUAUGUACUCCAAGUCUGAAAUCA